UAUUUAUGUGAUUCUAUUAGU
rnacentral:piRNA from 1 species